rnacentral:lncRNA from 1 species
AUCAUUAUUUCACCUGACCGUUUGAUCUUCUACUUUUUUCAACAGCUUGAAUACGGGUUCACACAUGGCGGUUAGAUGAGAUAUGAACCGUGAAAUGCAGUUCAAUCUAUCUAAGAAACCACGAACCUUCUUUUCUAUUCUCGGUUCAGGCAUUUCUUGUAUUGCUUCUUUUUAGCAGGAUCAACCUCGAUUCCUCUUUCGCUUACAAUAAGCCUAAGCAACUGACCGAACUGCACUCCGAAAGUGCGCUCACUCGGAUUCAACCUCAGUUUGAAU